GUGUUUAGGAACUCCAUUCUCCAAUCGUGGUCAGAUAUUACUCUUCGUCAAGUGAUUGACAUGCUUGAUUGAGGAAACUCCAAGUAUACUUGAACAGAGGUUCUGUUUGCUGACUUUGCCUCUCUUGUGAGUGCUUCCUUUGGUUCAUUGCUUCUAUACAAUGUUAUUGGAUGAUUUUCUGUGGAUUGAUAGUCAAUGAUCAUGAACUUGAGAUUGAUUGAGC